GUGUCUGUGUGGCUCUGCUGCUGAUUGGUGGAUUUGCACUGAUGGUCUACAAACUGAGACACAAGAGAAGACAAGUUACAGGUUUAACACCUUCAUCCAACAACAAUAACCAGGUCCCCCAUGCCGCUUGGAUCUAUGAGGAGAUUAACCACACCAACCAUGUUUCUGACUCAGAUACUGACAUUUAUAUGAAUGCUUCAUCACCCACUAACCCUGAUAAAGAGAUCUCCUCCACAGUACAACCACCCCAAGACCAAAAUCUCACUUACACCACUGUGAGUUUCAAGAAGAAUCCAGAUGAUGCUGCAGUCACCUUCAGUAAGGAGGAAUCUGCCACUGAAUACGCCACUGUCCAACACCACUGAGGACUGGAAUAAUUCGAUUAUGUUUUCAACAAAAUAUUCAUUCAUAAUUUCUUACAUUUAAUCAUACAAACAGCACAGCAGUAUUAAAUAAAUAAAAAUCUUAUUUUCAUAACCGAUAUCAUUUUGUUGGCACUUUUGAACAUGCUGCUGAAGUAAAAUAACAAAUAAAUGCCGCCUGGUAUGACAUUAAAUGUACCAUUUCCU
ensembl:lncRNA